rnacentral:lncRNA from 1 species
AUGCAUGCUUUCAUUAUUUCAUCAUCAUAAUUUCAUUGAACUUUCAUAACCAAAUACAUAUUACACGGACUCAAGGCAUGGUGUUUACACCCGGGAAAAACUGGGGUUAUCCGGUUAAUACAUGCAUGCUUUCAUUAUUUCAUCAUCAUAAUUUCAUUGAACUUUCAUAACCAAAUACAUAUUACACGGACUCAAGGCAUGGUGUUUACACCCGGGAAAAACU